rnacentral:lncRNA from 1 species
GGGUUCUUUUCAGAGACGCACAAUCCUGACUUUUAACUUCCAAAUCUUUUGUUGGACACAAACAUCUUGGAUGAAAUCAUAUCGAUUUGCCACCUAAGAGGAAGAGAGUUUAGAACAUCAUACAAUAUUUGAUGAAUAUUUAAAUAUUUGAUUAUACUAGACCAAAUACAGAAAUAAGAAAUAUAAAUUAAAUAAUAGGAACUCAAAUAGUAACAAAGAAGAAUGGACAGGGGGCU